UACGAAGGUCCCAAGCGUUAUCCGGAUUUAUUGGGUUUAAAGGGUGCGUAGGUGGGUAUGUAAGUCAGUGGUGAAAUCCCCGAGCUUAACUUGGGAACUGCCGUUGAUACUAUAUAUCUUGAAUAUCGCGUAGGUAAGCGGAAUAUGUCAUGUAGCGGUGAAAUGCUUAGAUAUGACAUAGAACACCAAUGGCGAAGGCAGCUUACUUCACGAUUAUUGACACUGAGGCACGAAAGCGUGGGGAGCAAACAGG
rnacentral:rRNA from 1 species